UCUAAGAUAAUUUUUUUCUACUGUCUGCUUGACAUUUUGACAAGCUAAUUGAACAAUACCGAUUAUGACUGUGAUUUGAAUCAAGUUGUUAUUAAUGACAUCUGUGAAUUUGGUCCUUUACUUCUUAUUUCAUACAAGAUAGUGUUUUUCCCUCUUUUUUUGUUUUUCUGGUAUGGCUGGAGUUUAUGUUGGAAUCUCUUCUCUUUUACCUUCUGGUUUUCUUUCUUUUUUUGGCAUAUUUAUGAUUAGUUGUAUAGAGUUGUAAUUAGUUAUAAAUUUUCGGUUUAAUUCAAUAAACAGAUGAGGAAUUUUAUUACUAUUUGCAUAUUUAUGCUCCUUCUGGUUGACUUUGUAGUUGUUCAUAUAUUCAGCUGGUGUUUUCUCCAUGCCAAUGGAUCCUGCUCCAUGUAGAAUUCACUGGUGUUCAAAUAAAGUUUCUGGAUUGCAUUACUGUUCAUGUUUCUUCACUAAUUUUUCUAAUAAUUAUGAAAAACCUUCCAGACUACAAAUUCUUCAAUUUUGUCUCCCUUCCCACUGUACAUCUCCAAAUUGCAACUUUUAAUUUUUUUUUCCUUGCUCCACAUCUGAUGGUGAGUCAAUGAUGAAAUGGCUCUCUGUUGGUGCAUGUUUCAUUACUCAUUCAUAUCCAUCUUUAAAGUCAAGCUUUUCAUAUGUGCACCAACAUAUAAGAAAAACAAUUAUGUAAAUGUUGCUGUCAUUUGUGUUUUAUUGUUUUUUCUGAUGAAUGACCUAAUUUGACAAGACUGUAUUUUCAACCAUUAGCGAUACACUAAUGAUGUUUGGUUAAUUUAACCGUUCUAGGUGCCUUUGUAAGAUCUGUUUGUUUUCCAGGAACAGGGGAUUAAGUGCACAAGCAAGCUUUAAUAUUUGUUGAAUUUAUCAAAUUAAUUUUUAAAAAAGUGCAUUAUCACAUUAAAUUCAAAAGUUCACUAGUUUUUUUUGAUUCUGAAGAAAUGUUAUUGAUAUUUCACAAAAUGGCACUGUCAUGCAUAAUUAAGAAGCUGCUAGAAGAAACGGCAAGAAAGGGGAAAAAAAAAAAAAAAAAAAAAAAAA
rnacentral:lncRNA from 1 species